rnacentral:lncRNA from 7 species
GUCCAACUUGGUCAGCCGCCCAGCGUAGCAUAUUCUCCAGCCCCGGCGGUAUACCUUCACGAUCUGAGCCGCUACGAAUCGAACCAAUCCAAUACAGCCACGCGUCCCUCCCCGCCCUCGGCCUCGGAGCCCCGCGUCCCCAGCGUCGCUGCUAGUAUAAUAGCCCCGCGCGGCGCAACCGCACGAGCUCGCCCGAGCAAACCGCCGCCGCUGCCCGCCGUUCCCCUCGCCGCUCGUCCUCUCUACAAGGUGAAUAAGAAUGCUAGCGCUGAUUGGGGUCGACUUGAAUGGCAGUGGAGUCGGGGUGGUUCUUUUCAGAUCUGGCUAGGGAUUGAUGAGUUGUUGUACGGUUCGCUUCUGCCUGAGUUUUCUGGUCUUCGACCAGCAGCGAGUCUGCGUGUGUGCCG